GUGGGGGUCGGUGGAAGGCUGGUUAAACCGUUUGGUUUUCGACCACAACGACCCGGGUUCGAUUCCCGUGUUUCUGGU